AACUCAAGCAGGACAGGCAC
rnacentral:misc_RNA from 1 species